UGCAAGUCGAGCGGUAGCACAGAGAGCUUGCUCUCGGGUGACGAGCGGCGGACGGGUGAGUAAUGUCUGGGAAACUGCCUGAUGGAGGGGGAUAACUACUGGAAACGGUAGCUAAUACCGCAUAACGUCGCAAGACCAAAGUGGGGGACCUUCGGGCCUCAUGCCAUCAGAUGUGCCCAGAUGGGAUUAGCUAGUAGGUGGGGUAACGGCUCACCUAGGCGACGAUCCCUAGCUGGUCUGAGAGGAUGACCAGCCACACUGGAACUGAGACACGGUCCAGACUCCUACGGGAGGCAGCAGUGGGGAAUAUUGCACAAUGGGCGCAAGCCUGAUGCAGCCAUGCCGCGUGUGUGAAGAAGGCCUUCGGGUUGUAAAGCACUUUCAGCGGGGAGGAAGGCGAUAAGGUUAAUAACCUUGUCGAUUGACGUUACCCGCAGAAGAAGCACCGGCUAACUCCGUGCCAGCAGCCGCGGUAAUACGGAGGGUGCAAGCGUUAAUCGGAAUUACUGGGCGUAAAGCGCACGCAGGCGGUCUGUCAAGUCGGAUGUGAAAUCCCCGGGCUCAACCUGGGAACUGCAUUCGAAACUGGCAGGCUAGAGUCUUGUAGAGGGGGGUAGAAUUCCAGGUGUAGCGGUGAAAUGCGUAGAGAUCUGGAGGAAUACCGGUGGCGAAGGCGGCCCCCUGGACAAAGACUGACGCUCAGGUGCGAAAGCGUGGGGAGCAAACAGGAUUAGAUACCCUGGUAGUCCACGCCGUAAACGAUGUCGAUUUGGAGGUUGUGCCCUUGAGGCGUGGCUUCCGGAGCUAACGCGUUAAAUCGACCGCCUGGGGAGUACGGCCGCAAGGUUAAAACUCAAAUGAAUUGACGGGGGCCCGCACAAGCGGUGGAGCAUGUGGUUUAAUUCGAUGCAACGCGAAGAACCUUACCUGGUCUUGACAUCCACAGAACUUUCAGAGAUGGUUUGGUGCCUUCGGGAACUGUGAGACAGGUGCUGCAUGGCUGUCGUCAGCUCGUGUUGUGAAAUGUUGGGUUAAGUCCCGCAACGAGCGCAACCCUUAUCCUUUGUUGCCAGCGGUUAGGCCGGGAACUCAAAGGAGACUGCCAGUGAUAAACUGGAGGAAGGUGGGGAUGACGUCAAGUCAUCAUGGCCCUUACGACCAGGGCUACACACGUGCUACAAUGGCAUAUACAAAGAGAAGCGACCUCGCGAGAGCAAGCGGACCUCAUAAAGUAUGUCGUAGUCCGGAUUGGAGUCUGCAACUCGACUCCAUGAAGUCGGAAUCGCUAGUAAUCGUAGAUCAGAAUGCUACGGUGAAUACGUUCCCGGGCCUUGUACACACCGCCCGUCACACCAUGGGAGUGGGUUGCAAAAGAAGUAGGUAGCUUAACCUUCGGGAGGGCGCUUACCACC
rnacentral:rRNA from 1 species